AUUGAACGCUGGCGGCAUGCCUUACACAUGCAAGUCGAACGGUAACGGGCCUUCGGGUGCCGACGAGUGGCGAACGGGUGAGUAAUACAUCGGAACGUGCCCGAUCGUGGGGGAUAACGAGGCGAAAGCUUUGCUAAUAUCGCAUACGAUCUACGGAUGAAAGCAGGGGACCGCAAGGCCCUGCGCGGACGGAGCGGCCGAUGGCAGAUUAGGUAGUUGGUGGGAUAAAAGCUUACCAAGCCGACGAUCUGUAGCUGGUCUGAGAGGAUGAUCAGCCACACUGGAACUGAGACACGGCCCAGACUCCUACGGGAGGCAGCAGUGGGGAAUUUUGGACAAUGGGCGCAAGCCUGAUCCAGCCAUGCCGCGUGCAGGAUGAAGGCCUUCGGGUUGUAAACUGCUUUUGUACGGAACGAAAAGCCUUCUUUUAAUACAGGAGGGUCAUGACGGUACCGUAAGAAUAAGCACCGGCUAACUACGUG
rnacentral:rRNA from 1 species